CGAGGGGCAGCGGAGAGGUAGCAAUACCUUUGCCGGCGACCGGCGCACGGGUGAGUAACACGUAUGCAAUCCACCUGUAACAGGGGGAUAACCCGGAGAAAUCCGGACUAAUACCCCAUAAUAUGGGCGCUCCGCAUGGAGAGCCCAUUAAAGAGAGCAAUUUUGGUUACAGACGAGCAUGCGCUCCAUUAGCCAGUUGGCGGGGUAACGGCCCACCAAAGCGACGAUGGAUAGGGGUUCUGAGAGGAAGGUCCCCCACAUUGGAACUGAGACACGGUCCAAACUCCUACGGGAGGCAGCAGUGAGGAAUAUUGGUCAAUGGUCGGCAGACUGAACCAGCCAAGUCGCGUGAGGGAAGACGGCCCUACGGGUUGUAAACCUCUUUUGUCGGAGAGUAAAGUACGCUACGUGUAGCGUAUUGCAAGUAUCCGAAGAAAAAGCAUCGGCUAACUCCGUGCCAGCAGCCGCGGUAAUACGGAGGAUGCGAGCGUUA
rnacentral:rRNA from 1 species